AAAUGGGAAGCAGCUAUUUGCUUAUCACAGCAGCACAGGUGAACAGUAACCUUUAACGAAAAUUUUCAAAUGACGAUCGUACCCUCACCCCUCACCCCUCGCGUCUCACUUCUCCUUUCUCUUGCAUCUCACUUCUCUCCCUCCAGUCUUCCCUCAUUCACUCCCAGCAGCCGCCAACCUGAAACUUCUUCCUUCCUCUCAACGAUAUCUCUCGUUCUCCAGGUCACGUUCUCCGGCUCAACAUCCUUCAUCUGAUUCCGGAGCCCCUUACUGGGAAAGUUUGGAAAUUGGAAGACUUUUAAUCACAUCCUACUUUACUGGUUCCUUAGAUUUAUAAGGCCUAUCGUCUGUCAUAGGGCAUAAGUUUCUAAGAGCUGCACAGCAAAUUGGGCAGAGGGGAAGGAAAGGUUGCAGGUCUGCGUGAUUACGAUGACUCGUGCCAGCUUGAUUCUGGUGGUGAUGUCGAUUUGCAUGACCACAAGGCUUCAAAGUUGCUGCAUUAUAAUUCUGCUUUUGAAAUUUUAUGCUUCAACUUUUAUUGGGUUUAAGUGCGGGUUGAUAUAUUUGAAUUUUUAAGUUGGCUUCUGUAGAGAUUAGAAGGUUUCUUAAUUAUCCAAAAAGGAAAAUAAAGCAUAUAAGUGGCUGUGGAUAGCUUACAUCCAUGUAUCCUAUGAUCUGGGGUCUAACUAAACUAUUGAGUCCCUGUAGAGUAUUGUGCAUUUGUACUGAUGUUUAGCUUGUGUGUCAUUCCCUCAAUGGGCAUCAUUUUACCUUGUGUGUCAUUUCCUCAGGGAUAGAUCCACAAUGUUUAUCCCUCAAAUAAAACAAUGUCACGUAUAUAUUUGUGCGUGUGGGUACAUAACAAUGCCAUGCCCUGCUUUAUUUCUUAUUAAAUGAACAUUUUAUCUUAUUAAGUUAGCCAUGGCCCUUAUAGACAAUCCAGGAUGGGAAGGCACUGCACAUGAUACAAGACUUUUUCUAUCCGUACUACGGAAUCCAAAUUUAAACUUUUCGAAGUCUCCAAAUGGUAAUCUUUAUACUUAUUAUAACAUUUUACAUACUUGCUUUGUAUAAUUAUUACAAUAUAAAACAAAAUUUUCAAUUUUCAAGAAAAUAUUACUUGGUAGAUGUGAGGGACUCACAAAUGAGAGGUUAUUUGGGACCAUAUAAAGGUGAAAGAUAUCAUCUCCUGGAUUUUCGUAGGGGUCUCGAACCAACGGGUCAUAAAGAGGUAUUCAACCACAUGCAUUCUUCUCUUAGGAGCGUCAUUGAACGAACUUUUGGGGUAUGGAAGAAAAGAUGGGCAAUUUUAAGGGAUAUGCCUAAUACAUGUUCAAUAAACAAGUGAAGAUUGUCAUUGCUACAAUGGCUCUUCAUAACUACAUAUGGAGGUAUUCUGAACGUGAUCUUCAUUUUGAUAACCCUUGGGACUAUUGUGAAGAGAGCGAUAUCAAGUUGAAGGAUCACAUGAGAUAGAAGCAUUAAGAAAUAGAAUAGCGGCAAGUUUGAUGAAUGCAUCUAAUUAGACUACUUUCAAGUACAUUAACAAUAUUGUAUUAUUGAAUCCUAGCUAUUUAGUCUAAAAUAUUUCAAU